GAUGAACGCUGGCGGCGUGCCUAAUACAUGCAAGUCGAGCGAAUGGAUUAAGAGCUUGCUCUUAUGAAGUUAGCGGCGGACGGGUGAGUAACUCGUGGGUAACCUGCCCAUAAGACUGGGAUAACUCCGGGAAACCGGGGCUAAUACCGGAUAACAUUUUGAACCGCAUGGUUCGAAAUUGAAAGGCGGCUUCGGCUGUCACUUAUGGAUGGACCCGCGUCGCAUUAGCUAGUUGGUGAGGUAACGGCUCACCAAGGCAACGAUGCGUAGCCGACCUGGGAGGGUGAUCGGCCACACUGGGACUGAGACACGGCCCAGACUCCUACGGGAGGCAGCAGUAGGGAAUCUUCCGCAAUGGACGAAAGUCUGACGGAGCAACGCCGCGUGAGUGAUGAAGGCUUUCGGGUCGUAAAACUCUGUUGUUAGGGAAGAACAAGUGCUAGUUGAAUAGCUGGCACCUUGACGGUACCUAACCAGAAAGCCACGGCUAACUACGUGCCAGCCGCCGCAGUAA
rnacentral:rRNA from 1 species